GGCCCGGUGGUGUAGUUGGUUUAACAUACUGCCCUGUCAAGGCAGAGAUCGUCGGUUCGAGUCCGAUCCGGGUCGCCA
rnacentral:tRNA from 3 species